CAAUUUGACCCCAUAUAGACCUGAUUCUAUAGGGACCACCCCCCCCCCCCCACCCCCCCAUACAGACCUGACCCUAUAGAUGGACCCAGACCCCCCCAUAGAUGGACCCAAUAAGGACCAAACCAAUUUGACCCCAUAUAGACCUGAUUCUAUAGGGACCGCACCCCACCACCACCCCCCCCAUACAGACCUGACCCUAUAGAUGGACCCAGACCCCCUAUAGCUAGACCCAAUAGCAACCAAACCAAUUUGACCCCAUAUAGACCUGAUUCUAUAGGGACCAGACCCUGUAGGGACCCCACUCCUUAUCUCCUAUAGACCUGACCCUACAGCGAGCAGCCCUUCUCUAUAUGUGACCCUGUAGGGACAACCUCACCCUAUAGGGAUCAGACCCUAUAGGGACCAGACCCUAUAGGGACCCUCCCUCCCACCCCACUGAUCCCCUAUAGGCCUCACCCUAUAGGGACCGGCCCCCUCACCUCCUUCCCUCCCCUCUCCAGGUUCUGGGUGAAGUUCCCGGACCAGAGCGACGCUGGGACAGGUGGGUGACAACGAGGGACAGCCUUUGGGGACGUGGGUGACAAUAAACGGGUGACAAAA